GACAAUCUACUCUUAGUAGCACUGAUCACCGUUGGUGAGGAUUUGACAACUAUUAUCUUCCAUUAUCUUCGAAGGGUCUUUGAACUUGCAGAGCUCCUCUGCUGGAUAGAUAAGAGAAUUGGGGUACUCGGUUUCGCCCAUUCUCUUAAGAGUUGAGUAGGCAAAGGUUACUUGACUUCGCCCGCCUCCUCGAGGUUGUACUCCAUGUAUCGAGUUG
rnacentral:lncRNA from 1 species